UGUCUGUCUCCAUUAGGCUCUUCUCUUUUAUGCCUUUCCCUCUUUCUAUAUAUUUGCCACACUCUUCAUUACUCUCUCUCUCUCUCUCUCUCUCUCUCUCUCUUACACAUGCUGCUGUCCCCCUCUCUCUUGAUGUUACAUGUAAGCGCUUGCAUUUUGUUUUAAAACUUCUUGACUGUAAUGCCUACUUUCACUUCAUAAUAGCCAUCAUGCAGAAAAUGCCAGCUUCCAAAUUGUGUUUUCUGUUUGGGUAACAUUUAUUAAAAAUUUUGCUGGAUUAAAUGAAUCUCAAAGUCAAAUUCAGCAUGAAAAGUACUUGAAUAUAACAAAUUUGAAAAUCUUUUCUUGAGAGCAAUAGAAAAGAUCUUUCUCUUUCUCUCUCUCUCUCUCUCACUCUCUCUCUCUCUCUCUCUCCUCUCUCUCUCCUCUCUGUCUCUCACUCUCUCACUCUGUCUGUCUGUCUCUCUCUCUCUCUCUCUCCCUCAAUCUGUAUCUCGCUCACAUUGAGUGUGUAUUUGUAUAAGGGAUUUCAUUAGUUGUGACAGAGUGAAAAGAGCCUUGCAAAGUAGCCGCAGUGAGCUGAGAAAAAUCUUUACAUGGAAAAAACUUAGUUUAUUGAUACAUUAUAAAUCCCCCCCAAAUAAUGCAGAAAUCUGUCCUGAUUAAGAGGCCUCUCCAUUGGAGAAGACAUGGUCUGGCAUGGAACGAAAAAAAAAAAUUGAAAUAAAUAAUAAUUCUAUUAUGAAAAUUAACUGGCAACAGGUCAUUUUAAACGAGCUAGAGAGAUUCGGGUAUACACUUGUGAUUGUUCUAUUAAAAUUGAUUCAGUGAUGAAGUCAAAUUUUUAGUGGUAUUGAAGCUUUUCCCACUAACUCUUCUGGAGCAUUUAGUGAGGCGAGAGCCCCAAACACCUCAGCUGUAUGACGAACCUGACAGGGAAAUCUUUGUUGACAAGGAAAUUCAUAGUUAAAUAACAAGAGUAGAAAUUAAUAUUAUUAAAUAAUAUCAAUUUCAAUUAGUGGUCAGCAUACUUAAAAAAUGUCCAAGGACCGUGAAUUCUAUUUAAGUAUAAACAAUACAAGAAAUCACUAUGUGGACCUCUUGUAUGCUAAAAAUAGAUGCCAAACCGUCUUACCACUAAAUCUGUGUUCCCUGCUUAAUAAGACACUAGAUAUCUAGCUCAUAAACAUCUAGCGUCUUACUAAGUUGAGAACACAGAUUUAAUGGCAAGAUGGUUUGAUGUCUAUUUUUAGCAUAGAAGGGAUCCACAUAGUGAUCUCUCAUAUUGUUUAUAUUUAAAUUCCUAGUUAACCAUUCAUUUAAUAAGUGAAAUUCUCAUCUCUUGAGUCACUCCAUUGCUUUGGCUAAAUAUUAAUAAAAUCAUACAAAUACUCAUAUUUUGGGUUCUAUUUUUCCUGUUUGCUUCACCACACUUGUAGUUAACCAUUCAGUAAUCAUUGGUGGGAUUAUUGCUUUUAACCCUUCAGAAAUUCUUACUCCCAUGUGAUGUAAGAACCCGACCUUGGUGAUGCUGUUUGAAGCUUUUCAUGUGAGAGAUAUGUUAUAGCACCAUAUUUCAUCAAGAUAGACUUCAUAUCAGCACAAAACAACAUAGACAAAUAUUCUUGAUAAACUUCUGAGGUUCUUUAUUAUUAACCCUUCAACAUUCAAAUUAUUCCGUCACCUGUUAUUCACAUUGCUUUGAAUUAGUCAUGCUUUAUCUCAUGGCUUCAAGAUUUUGAUGAUGUGGUUGUAUGUUAUUAAAAUGAUAUUGCAGGAUAGGUGUAAGAGGCCAGAUCUAGCUGGAUAUUUUGGCCGGUUUGACCAAUUUAAAUGCUAAACGGUUAAACAUUACGAACUGUAUGAGGGUAUGUUUGUCCUAGACUACUCCCAGUUCAGGGUUCAAAGCAAGGGGCAGGAUUACUUAAAGGUGAAACUUCCACUGUUUACCCACAAGAAAGUCUGGCCUUCUCGCUCACCUGAACUGAAUCCAUCCAUUUAGGUCAGUGCACAUCAUUGAAUAUAGGUCAGUGCAACAGUUUACGCAGUCACUACACUGAAGAUUUCUAUAAGGAAGGUAUUCGGAUUUAAUUACAUAAGUGGAGCAUGGGGCUGAGGGGGGGGGGCUGAUUCAGAUUCCUUCAUCCCUAUUCAUUCAAUUAUACUUGUUGAUGUUGAACAUAUUGGAUGAUAUCUGUCUUUAUGUUGCAUAUGUGUGUUGUGUGUGUGUGAGUGCAUCAUUUUAUAUCCAUUUCCCUGCAUAGACUGGAUAAAUCUUCUCCAGCACAAGAUCUUGCCAUUUGUUGUGGGUCCUUUUCAUCUCCUUAAUGAGAUUUAGCUUCCUGAGACCAAUUUUCACUUCUUCCCAUGUCUUCCUCAAUUUCGAUCUGCUGCAGAUUCCUUCCAUCUGAAUUAUAGAAGAUUCUUUUUGCCCCAGCAUCAUCCUUUAUGGGCAUCACAUAUCCUUACGACUAAAGUUUUCUCUCUUGCACACUACAACUGAUUCAUCUUACACACAUUUUCUGAAAGUUUCUGUGUCCCCUGUUCUUAGUGUUGCUGCAAUGCUUUCAAAACUCCCUUCUCCAUUGCUAAUUAGGUCACCUGCUUAGGUUAUUAAUACCUUCCAAGGUACUCUCUUCCCAUUUGAUUGAACAUAUUUCAGCAACAACUUGCCAUGUACAGUCAUUCAUCUUUGUCAGCCUCUGAUCCCACCUCAUCUCUUAUACCCUCACACGUUUAUAUUGUGGUACACUGUACGGGGUUCCUACCUGUUCCUUUCUUGCAUAUCAAGCUUGACCAUAUCCCAGACACCAUUAAGGUCUGGUUUUCUUUCUUGUGGAG